ensembl:lncRNA
UGAAGGAGGAGAUCCAGGUUUAAAUCUGGCUUAUUAACUCAAGCCAAUUUUAAGGAUUUUCUGUAUAGAUUAUUCAUGUCAGACCAAGAAUUUAAAUUAUUUUGAGAGAGGCAUUUAAUUCUAAUAAACCAGCUGUUACAAAAAUUAUAAAAUGAUCUCUGUUUUUCCUGUCAGAGAUUUAAAAAACUGAAAAGGUAUACCUCAACCCAAAAAUAAAGGUUUGGUUUGGUUUGUUAUGGCUUCCUUUUUAAAAAAAUUUCCCUGUAGUGCCAGUUUAUUAUGCAAAGCAGCUUAUAUUCCUCUGUUUCUGAUAAAAUGAAGACUUUAACUCAGUCAACAGUACUUUCCCUUUCAAGGCAUUAGUAAAUUACUUGCAAAUAGUUUUAAAAGGAAAAUUCGAUUUCUGUUAUAGGCAGUCUUCUCUUUAAGACAAUACUUUUCCACUUAUUUUUUUCCUUUUCCAUAUUAUCUAUGUGUAUUCAUAUAUCUAUAUACAUAUUCAGUUGAUCAUUUUAUAAACAUAUAUGAAGGCAUAAAGAUAUACAGAAGAAAAAUUAUUAAAUAACUCAUUUUAAGAUUCAAAUUAAGUAAUUCCUGCAUGUAUGACAUUCCUUACAUAAGCGAACACUAAACAAAAAUGGCUAGAAAUGUCUUUUUCUUUUCUCUUUUUGUUGUUUGUUUUAAGGUAUUAAGCACGAAUUAUUACAUGAGACUGGCAGAUAGCUAUUAAUCCUCUUGCAGAUUUGAGAAAGUUGAUUCUCAAAUAUUUAUGCACCUUCUCCUUCAUUGUUUUCUUUAAAUCUGUCCUGUUAAAAAGCUUCUUAAGAGCUCAGUUAAUGCUUUUGACUUAACUAGGAGAAAAAGGCAUGAUAAUACAGGCAAGAUGGCAUUGUUAGCAAUUCUGGUAGUGGUUUGGAAUGAAUCCUAAGAGGCAGGGAUCUUAAGGACAAGGAAGAGAAGAGAGAGAGGAGGGAUCUUUGAUCUCUUUCUCUGGUAAUCUUAACGCGUAAUUUUACUACAACAUGUUCUCAAUUCAUUUAUAUUAUUAUAUUAAGCUCUUUCUGCAGUUGAUAUCUGAGCAGAGUAAGAUUUGUAUUUCCAUUUUUACUUUUUUGAAAGAGAAUAUAUGGACAGAUCAUUAGUACAAUUUGGACACUGUGAUUGUAAGAAUAUCUGAGUAAAAUAACAAUAUGAAAUAAUUAAUAGAAACUCUAGCGUCAGGUAACACGUAGACAGCAAGAAAGGUUUUGCACCAUCCUCUUACGGCCUAGGGAGUUGACAAGUUGCUUGUAGUUUUAAACAAAUAAUAAAGUGUACCCUUCUGGUAUAUCAUCAAGAGCUUAAGAAUCUUGGCUUUCAUAUUUAAAAUGCUUUUGGGGAGACAUAUAUUAAAAUUUUAGCCAAGAUGAUAGACAUGUCUCAAUUAUAUAUGUGUGUGUAUAUUUUUAAAGCUAGAAACAUUAUUUUUAGAUCCCUAGAAUGAAAUUUUUUUUUCAUCUAUGCAAUUCCCAUAUGGUUUUUUUAAAUCAUAUUUUAUUCAUUUUCUCCCUUCAGCAGUUUUCAUUUUAUUUCUCAUAAUUUGAACAGAGACAGUUCUCAUAUGUGAACAGAUGCUUUUUUUUUUCCUUCUUACCAUCAUUUAUGCAUGACAUAGGUAAAGUAAUAUGACUAAUUUCUCCAGUUGAUUCAAGAAACUCAUUACUUUGCCUCAAAUUAUAUGUAAAAUAUUUGUUUUACUUAGGUUACAGUUAUCAGAAAGCCAGGUAGUUUUUUUCUUCUAUUAAAAUAUAACAUAUUGUGAAAGAAAAUAAAAUUUAUGCUAUUCAUUCUUUGCUUUGUUUUUAUAAAUGAAUUUUUCAUAGAAUUUACAGUAUAUUCAUAGGAAGAAAGAUAAAAUUAUUGGUCAUCAUUUGUACCUUAGAAGUACAAGAAUUUAAGUAAAAGAAAUGUUCAUUUUUGUUUUAAAAUUUGUUUUCCAUGUGAAGUUUUUAUUGAGCCAACUUUCAUACAUAUCUCGCUAGCCUAAAGUCUAAAUAUUUGUGUUGGCAUCAGAAAAACAAAUUAGACAGAAUUGCUAUGUGUGGUUGAUCUUCAGAUAAAUUGACUGAUCACAUUUAUUUUUGUAUCAGUCUAUGUCAUUUAAUUAGGAAAAAUUGUUUAGUUGUUUUCUCCCCUGAUUAAUGGUGAUACUCAAGUAUGAUACAAAAAGAAUUGUACCACCAAAUAUUUUUGUGAGGUCUGCUGUUUUCCAUAUUCAUUUUAUGCUACUGCCUUUAAGAAAGAACCAGUGUAUCCUUGAAAUAGCACAAAAAUGUUUUAAAAUUCAUAAUUGCAAAACAAAUCUGUGACUAACUUAAUGUCUUCAGAUCUAAAGGGUGUAAAAAUAUUGAUACUUCAAUAUUUCACUUGCUGCCAGGAAAAACAAAAUUCUCAAUCUUUUGUAAAUGGGAGGAGGACUUUUGCAUACAUUUUUACUCUUUAAAUAACGACAAUGACACUUAUACUGUCAUAAUAACAAUUAUGUAUUUCUUUGUGGUUUUAAUUUUUUUUGUAAUUUUACAUAAAACAGUUAUUUUCUAUUUUUACGCAGAUAAAAAAUAUUUGUGCAUAAAAUGUAAAAAUAGUAAAAUGAGAAAAAUAAAACUAUUAUAC